rnacentral:rRNA from 1 species
CCUACGGGCGGCUGCAGUGAGGAAUAUUGGUCAAUGGGCGGGAGCCUGAACCAGCCAAGUCGCGUGAGGGAAGACGGUCCUAUGGAUUGUAAACCUCUUUAGGCGGGGAGCAAUGCCGGGCACGUGUGCCCGGAGGGAGAGUACCCGCAGAAUAAGCAUCGGCUAACUCCGUGCCAGCAGCCGCGGUAAUACGGAGGAUGCGAGCGUUAGCCGGAUUUAGUGGGGUUAAAGGGUGCGUAGGCGGAUUUUUAAGUCAGCGGUAAAAUGUCCGGGCUCAACCCGGGCCGGCCGUUGAAACUGGGGAUCUUGAGUGGGCGAGAAGUAUGCGGAAUGCGUGGUGUAGCGGUGAAAUGCAUAGAUAUCACGCAGAACUCCGAUUGCGAAGGCAGCAUACCGGCGCCCGACUGACGCUGAGGCACGAAAGCGUGGGGAUCGAACAGGAUUAGAUACCCGAGUAGUC